rnacentral:lncRNA from 1 species
GGUCAAAACCACUGUCUCCUGCGUGAGAUACGUUUCGACCCGGAGCUCCGCCAUUAAAACUACCUCAUGUAUUUACAUCAAGGUGUUCUGUUCUGUUCGUGAUUCUUGGGUGCACUUCAAAUGGGGAAUUGAGUGGGGGUUUCCCCACAAGGUUCUUUCAUUUGGAGGCGUGACAAUCAGGAACCCUGAAAAACCCCUUGGAGAAUAUAUAGCCUUGGUGAAUUUCAUCGUCAGACAUGCUGAACUGACCUGCCUGAACUCCUGAUGUCUUGGUUUUUCAUCUGGAUCCAGUCAGAGACUAAUACAAUCAUUGGUGUGGCCUUCUUAAGACCAACUAACUCCCCCAUUUCCGUACCCUCCCUCUUCCCUUCAAAAAUAUCUCAACACCCAUAUUCAGCUUAAAGAAGUUAUAAAGAGUUGUCGUCCCAGUUCCCUAAGCUUCGGGGCUGGAGGGGUUUAUUAUAGGUUGUCUUUGAUACUAAAAAUUUUGACAUACAGAGCUUAGAAACAGUCCUUCUAUUGCCGUUAUUAUAAACAAAUCUGAGAUGUUUAAGCCUGUGAGUUAAAGGCCAAAUAGGAAAUUCAUGGCUCUGAGUUUAUUGUUAGGGUGUUUUCAGAUAUUUUAAUUAGAAAUGGCUGAGAGUAGUUAAUAGACAACAAUCUAGAUUACUUCACAUAGAUGGUUUUCAAAAACAUCAGAAAUCUAAAGAAUGUAAGCAGGGCGGUGGUGGUGCACGCCUUUAAUCCUAGCACUUGGGAGGCAGAGGCAGAGGCAGGUGGAUUUCUGAGUUCGAGGCCACCCUGGUCUUCAGAGUGAGUUCCAGGACUGCCAGGGCUACACAGAGAAACCGUGUCUCAAAAAAAAAAAAAAAAAUCUAAAGAAUGUGACAUUUAAUGAUUAUUUAUUUACUUGUUGUUGAGACUAGUCUGCUCCUGACAGCUUUCCCUGCUUUCCCUCUCCUGGAUUCAAAGAAGAAACUGAGCAUCUUUGAGUUACUCCAGUUGUGGCAAAACAGCCACUAGGCGAAAAUUGCCUCAUGCCAUCUUCAGACAUAAUAAUGUCCCAAGAAAGGACACAAAUACAGGUUAGGAGAGCUUGAGUCUGCUGAGAUAGAGUAGGCUAGUCCUUAAAAUUCCUGUUUCUCUAAGUCUGUCAGAUGACCCUGGCCAGUAGGCUGAAGACCGAUGCUACAAUUUGUUGAAGUAAGGGAUUGUUCAAGUGAUCAGUGGUCUCUAUAAACUGGGUAAGUAGUGGAAGUAUUGUGUUAGUCUUCCUACACAUUUUCAGUUAAUAUCAGUCGUUCUUUGAUUUAUGAUGGGGUUGAAAAACUGCAUAGUCUCCUAGCCAACCCAGGCUUUUUACUUUGAGAGGAACAGAUUUGAGUGGAUGGUUUUCAGAUGGCAUUCAAUCUAAAGCUAAGCCAUAGCCAGGUGCAGAACUAUAGUCUUUAAGUAAGGAUAGGUGACAGAGGGUCUAUUUAAUAACAAUGAUGAUGGACUGGGUGUUAGGUCCCUUGUACGUUACAAAUUACAAAAUAAUAAUAGUUAUGUUCAAUUAUAUCUGAGAUAAAAUAGUCUUUAAAUUGGACAGAAAAGGGGAAAAUGUUGUGGAUAGCCCUGGGGCUAAUUAUAUUUGAUGUUAAUUCCGUUCUCCUGUGAGUGGUUGGGAACAAGGAAUGAGUCAGCACUCAGGUGAUUUCCAGUAAACAUGCUUCCCACCUUAAUUUGC